rnacentral:lncRNA from 10 species
CUCGCUGCCGCCUUGCAGUUUGAUCUCAGACUGCUGUGCUAGCAAUCAGCGAGACUCCGUGGGCGUAGGCCCCUCUGAGCCAGGUGCAGGAUAUAAUGUGGUGGUGCGCCAUUUUUUAAGCCCGUCGGAAAAGCGCAGUAUUCGGGUGGGAGUGACCCGAUUUUCCAGGUGCCCUCCGUCACCCCUUUCUUUGACUCAGAAAGGGAACUCCCUGACCCCUUGCGCUUCCCAAGUGAGGCAAUGCCUCGCCCUGCUUCGGCUCACACACGUUGCGCGCACUCACUGACCUGCGCCCACUGUCUGGCACUCCCUAGUGAGAUGAACCCGGUACCUCAGAUGGAAAUGCAGAAAUCACCCGUCGUCUUCAUCGCUCACGCUGGGAGCUGUAGAGCGGAGCUGUUCCUAUUCGGACAUCUUGACUCCUCCCAAUAUUUAUUCUUUCUAUCCAGAUGACAAAGUUCAAUGAUAAUCAUUCUUUGAAGUUUAUCUACCCAAACUGGAGCCAUGUCAAAAGACUCCUUGAAGAAUGAUUGCUGGGGAAGAAAUCAAUGGCAUCAACAGAAAGAACAAAGACAGAAAAUGUAAAAGGCAAGGGGAAAAGAAAAAGAAAGACAUAAAAAUUUAAGAAAAAAGAGGCAAAAGAAAACUAAAAAAAUAGAGACUAGGCUUCUUUAAUGGCUCCAACAGAAAUUAAAAAAAAAAAAAAAAAAACUACAUCUGCCUUUUGCUUUUGAAUAAAUAGAACAUUUUACCAAUAAUGCCAAGAUGACUCACAACACACAUUUUAUGUAUCUUGUAAUUUUCCUAUACACUGCAAAGACAACAUAGUUGAGCUAAUACUAGCGAAGUCUUACAUGUAAUUAUAGGAUGCCUAUAGCAUUUCUAGUAUAAUAUAUUAAUGAAAACCAGUUAUUUAAUUAUGGCAUAAUAUCAUGAAAAGCUUUUAUAGUCACUUGCUAAAACAGACCAAAAAAACAUUUUCCCAAAUAUAGCUGAGGAACAGUAGAAUCGUAUCUUGAUGUCAGUAGAUGCCUUUGCCGGGGUGUAGAAACAGCUUCUCCUGUCAUUAAAAGGACAAACUGUAAUCCAUCUGCCAUGUAUAAUUUGACAAUCUGCAAUCUUUAAACAGUAGGAGGGAAAGACAUGUCUUCCAAAAUUUCCCCUGAAGGAGGAGGCUUUCAGCAGUUCCCAAUUACUAUCUAGGCCUAAUGUCUCACUUGAGACAUCUGCUCAGCAGUUAGUAGUGAAAACCUGGCAUACAGGAGAUCAGAGGUGUGCCUCAUAAUUAUUGUUGGCCUUUAAAUGGCCAACUUUUAGAAUAUGAGCCAAUCACUAAGCUUCAGGUGUGCAUUUUGGCAACCUUUGGUGGGGUGCCAGUAUAAACCCCCAGAUCUAACUUUUGUUCACAUAAACUUCUGAGAUGAUAAUCUUUCUAAAGUUCAAGGUGGAAAAAUUCACUGUGAAGUGAGUCUGGGUUCAGUAAUGAGCCAAAGAUCUUAACACAUUUCUACUGAUAAUAGAAGAAUGAAAAUCAUAGAAUGCCAUAGAUCCAUGUUUCCUGCAGAUAAGGAUUGCUUUCUUGGGACCCAUUUCAGCUCAUUACAUUUAUUAAGUCAACUAAAAAUCUUUCCUGGCACUGGUUCAGAAUGCACAAAGCUGUUGUCUACAAAAACCUACUUUAGUUACCACGUGGGUGUUUUCCCAGGUAGGGGUGAUUUUAAAGGGAAAAUAAGAAAAUGGAAAAUUCCAUUUUGCAGAUUUAGGCUUACCUUCUGAAAUCUUGAGAAUGCUGGGUGAGAUUUAAGACAGACUCUGUCGUUCUAUCAUCAGAGAAAUGCAAAUCAAAACCGCAAUGAGAUACUAUCUCACACCAGUCAGAAUGGCUUUUGAUAAAGAGUCAAAAAAUAACAGAUGUUGGCAAGGCUGUGGAGAAAAGGGUGAACUGAUACUCUGUUGCAAUGUAAAUUAGUCCAGCCACUGUGGAGGGGGCAGUUUGGAGAGUUUGGAAAGAAGUGAGAGUUGAACUGCCAUUCAAACCAGCAAUUCCAUUACUAGAUAGGUCUGGAUGUCUGGAAAAUAAAUUGCUGUACCAAAAGGAAACAUGCACCUGUAUGUUCACUGCAGCACUAUUCACAAUAGCAAAAACGUGGAAUCAACCCAGUUGCCCAUCAACAGUGGAAUGAAUUAAAAAAAUGUGGUACAUGUACACCAUGGAAUACUAUGUAGCCAUAAAUAAGAAUAAAAUCAUGUCAUUUGCGGCAAUAUGGAUAUAGCUGGAGGUCAUUAUCCUAAGUGAAUGAAUGUAAAAAAAGAAAACCAAACGCUGCAUGCUCUUAUUUAUAAAUGGGAGCUAAACAUUGAGUACUAAUGGACUUAAAGAUGGGAAUAAUAGACACUGGGGACUACUAAAGGGUGUGAGAGAGGGAGGGGGGAAGGGCUGAGAAACUACCCAUCGGGUAUUAUGCCCACUACCUGUGUGACAGGCUCAGUCAUACUCCAAACCCCAGCACCACACAAUAUACCUUUGUAACAAACCUGCACAUGUACGUCCUGAUUCCAAAAUAAAAGUUGGAAAAGAAAAUAAAAAAGAUGAACUCUUUGCAGAAAAGCAACGAGCUGAAAGGUACAAAUAACAGUAUUGUUAAUGGGGAAAAGAACCAGUUGAUGCUUUCUUCAUGUGCAACGGUGAGAUUGUUUCAAAACAAGUAGCAUCUGCAAGCAUCCCUUCCCAACAGCCAAAAGACCCAAUCAGGGAGGGGAAAAUGACAACCAAAUGUAAUAUGGGAUCCUAGAUUGGACCUCAGAGAAGAAAAAGG